rnacentral:rRNA from 1 species
GAUGAACGCUGGCGGCGUGCCUAAUACAUGCAAGUCGAACGCACAGCGAUAGGUGCUUGCACCUAUCAAGUGAGUGGCGAACGGGUGAGUAACACGUGGACAACCUGCCUCAAGGCUGGGGAUAACAUUUGGAAACAGAUGCUAAUACCGAAUAAAACUUAGUGUCGCAUGACACCAGGUUAAAAAGGCGCUACGGCGUCACCUAGAGAUGGAUCCGCGGUGCAUUAGUUAGUUGGUGAGGUAAAGGCGUCACCAAGACAAUGAUGCAUAGCCGAGUUGAGAGACUGAUCGGCCACAUUGGGACUGAGACACGGCCCAAACUCCUACGGGAGCUGCAGUAGGGAAUCGUUUCCCAAC